AAACCAUGAUGUGGACAUUUACGUAAAAGCUCCUGAAAACGCUCCCAAAAUUCAUAUAGAGAUUCUCUAUCCUAUUAAGAAAACCUAAUUAUAUCCAUACAGAGUUU